UACAGAGGGGGCAAGCGUUGUUCGGAAUUACUGGGCGUAAAGGGCGCGUAGGCGGCCUACUAAGUCGAACGUGAAAUCCCCGGGCUUAACCCGGGAACUGCGUCCGAUACUGGUUGGGCUUGAAUCCGGGAGAGGGAUGUGGAAUUCCAGGUGUAGCGGUGAAAUGCGUAGAUAUCUGGAGGAACACCGGUGGCGAAGGCGGCAUCCUGGACCGGUAUUGACGCUGAGGAGCGAAAGCGUGGGGAGCGAACAGG
rnacentral:rRNA from 1 species